rnacentral:rRNA from 1 species
GACGAACGCUGGCGGCGUGCUUAACACAUGCAAGUCGAACGAAGAGCGCUGGAAGCUUGCUUCUAUCACUCUUAGUGGCGAACGGGUGAGUAACGCGUAAUCAACCUGCCCUUCAAACGGGGACAACAGUUGGUAACAACUGCUAAUACCGCAUACGUCCUAAUCUCGGCAUCGAGGAUAGAUGAAUGGUGGACUCUACCUGUACGCAAUCACUGAAGGAGGGGAUUGCGUCUGAUUAGCUAGAUGGCGGGGUACCGGCCCACCAAGGUGAUGAUCAGUAGCAGGACGGAGACGAUGAGCGGCCACACUGGGACUGUGACACGGCCCAGACUGCUAGGGGAAGCAGCCGUAGGGAAUCGUCCGCAAUGGACGAAAGUCAGACGGAGCAACGCCGCGGGAGUGAGGACGGCCUUCGGGUUGUAAAGCUCUGUUAAUCGGGACGAAAGGCCUUCUAGCGAACAGUUAGAAGGAGUGACGGUACCUAAAGAGAAAGCCACGGCUAACUACGUG